rnacentral:rRNA from 1 species
GACGAACGCUGGCGGCGUGCUUAACACAUGCAAGUCGAACGGAAAGGCCCUUCGGGGUACUCGAGUGGCGAACGGGUGAGUAACACGUGGGUGAUCUGCCCUGCACUUUGGGAUAAGCCUGGGAAACUGGGUCUAAUACCGAAUAGGACCACGCGCUUCAUGGUGUGUGGUGGAGAGCUUUUGCGGUGUGGGAUGGGCCCGCGGCCUAUCAGCUUGUUGGUGGGGUAAUGGCCUACCAAGGCGACGACGGGUAGCCGGCCUGAGAGGGUGACCGGCCACACUGGGACUGAGAUACGGCCCAGACUCCUACGGGAGGCAGCAGUGGGGAAUAUUGCACAAUGGGCGCAAGCCUGAUGCAGCGACGCCGCGUGAGGGAUGACGGCCUUCGGGUUGUAAACCUCUUUCAAUAGGGACGAAGCGCAAGUGACGGUACCUAUAGAAGAAGCACCGGCCAACUACGUGCCAGCAGCCGCGGUAA